UUUUUAUCUAUUUAUUAAAAUGCAGGAUAAAUUCAUAUCAUUAAUAACGCAGAAUACAAAGUAGGCCUAAUCAAUAGUAUGAUCAAAUAAAGUCCAGGCCCAAGCUCACUACAGAGUAAGUCCCAUGGUAAGUAAAGAAACCCAGCCCUAAUAGAUCACACUUAUUGUAGAACCAUCGCAUGGACGACCCAACGCUGAAAUCCCCCAAAGCUGAACCAAUGAUGCCUCGCACCGAUAGAUGAAAAACAAACCGAUGCCCAGGCAAGACCACAGAAUUAAAAACCCAGACCAGAAUUGACGACUCAGAGCUUCAUAUCAGCUUGACCAAGAAUCAAACUCUUAAGUUCUCAGGGCGGUAUGGUAGAGCUCUCCGGCAUCACAGUCGUCAUUAAGGAUAGAAGGCUAACAAAUAGCAACUGAGAAAGUCCCAGAUAAGCUAUACCCACUAAAAAUGUAAACCUGCCAUCACAACAGGUUUCUCCAAGAACCUCUCAUGACAAAGCAGGCCUGUAUACAACAAAUCACAACCAAAAACUUUAUAUAGCCCCACAAGAUGGGAAGGGAGACCCAUGUCUAUGCAGGAGGGAACAAGACCAUCUCCACCCGAAAAGGGCAGGGGAUGACCAACGAAACCCCGGGAGAGAAAACGAGUGCACUUGUCUCAAGUAAAUGUAAAUUGACUACCCUUAACACUUCGUGAUAAUACAACACAAAUAGCAAAAAAUAUAGCUACUUUUCAGUUUAACUUCGUCAAACGACGUCGCUGCUUUAGAAAUUCAUAAUACGCUGCUCAACUAGGAAUCAAAAAGCCCAUGCACCGAACAAACGAGCGAACAAAAUGGUAAUAAUCACUCGGUAAUCAUUCCCCACAUAUUUUUUUUGGAUUACCAAUCUGUCCGUGUCUCUUUGCUGGAGGUUUUUCGUAGGGUUUCUAUUUAUCCUUCUCCACGAAAGCUAUAGAGAAUUAUACCAUACAACCCGCUCAAAGAGAGAGAACGAAAUGGGUUCUCUAAGAAAUGGAGCAGACACAGAAAGAUGCAGAGAAGACGAAGAACAAGAGGAGCCAAUACUAAAGGAACAGAACCAGAGAUUUUGUAUGUUUCCCAUCAGAUAUAAGCAACUUUGGGAGAUGUACAAGAAGGCUGAGGCCAGUUUUUGGACCGCUGAAGAGGUUGAUCUCUCCCAGGAUGUGCAGCAAUGGGAAGCUCUGUCUGUUCCAGAGAAACACUUUAUCAGCCACGUAUUGGCAUUUUUUGCUGCAUCUGAUGGGAUUGUUUUGGAGAACCUAGCGGCAAGAUUUCUAAGUGAUGUUCAAAUUCCAGAGGCCCGAGCAUUCUAUGGAUUUCAAAUUGCAAUGGAGAAUAUUCAUUCUGGUAGAGCUUUAUAUGUGAUGUUAGUGGGUUUCUAUUAUCAUCAUGCAAUGCAGGACCUGAUUAAGGGAUUUUUUUUUUCUCCCUAUCAUCAGAGAUGUACAGCUUACUUUUAGAGACGUACAUCAAGGAUUCAAGGGAGAAGCAUAGGUUGUUUAAUGCUAUUGAAAGCAUUCCUUGUGUGGCGAGGAAGGCAAAAUGGGCAUUGGACUGGAUUCAUAGGUACUUUAGCUUAUUAGUCAUCUCAAAUAAGUCUUAGCUUAUGUUUUGGAAGGGUGGAAAAUGAGAGGAAAAAUAGGUAGGAAAGAAAAUAAUGGAAUAUUCCAUUUUUUUUUUCUUGUUUGGAAGAAGAGAAAAUUUUUAGUGGAAAAAUUCUGUGGAGCUUAUAAAAGAUUUUCACUCCCCAUUUGAAGAGAAAAUGGGAGGAAAAUGUAUAAAAUUAUUAAUUACCAUUAUGCCCCUUUAAUGGCUCCGUUCAAAAUAAAACUUACAAGGAUAAAAAUAUAAUUUCCCUCUUUAAACUGAUUUUCUUUCCUCCCCUUUUCCUUUCUCACCGAAACAAAAGGUGGAAUUUUUUUCGUCACUUUUUUCUUUCCCUUUUCAUUCCUCUUAUUUUCUUUUGUCCCUUAACUUUUUUCCCAAAGAAAGCAUUAGUCUCAAUCCAUUCAGGUUACAUGGAUCCUUUAUUUCUAUCUAUUAUUUUAGGGCAAAAAUUUCUGUGAGUUGUGCUAGUAUCCCGCAUUCUUGCCUGCAACUUGGAAGUAACAGUAGUGCUUGAGCCUCAUGUUGUGAGCUAUUGCUGUCAAUAAUCUUUCUUUAUUUCCUUUUUGUAGUUCCUCACUGUUUGCAGAGAGACUUGUUGCUUUUGCUUGUGUUGAAGGAAUCUUUUUCUCAGGAAGGUAAUCUUCACUAAAUAUCAGAACAAAAAGGCUUUUCUAGUUUAAUAUUAGUGCAAAGAGGCUUAGCUAUAUCUGAAAUAUGUGGAAUUUUUAUUCUUUUUUGUGAUGAUGUUCAUAUUGCUUAUUAAAAUUAUUUAUUUUCAAUUUUUUAUUUAUUGUUCUCAGUUUCUGUUCCAUUUUCUGGCUUAAGAAAAGGGGCUUGAUGCCAGGUUUGACAUUCUCAAAUGAGUUAAUAUCCAGAGAUGAAGGCUUGCAUUGUGACUUUGCUUGCCUUCUAUAUAGGUAAAAUUUCUCCUUUUUUAUUUCCUUUUUUAAAUUUGUAUUUUUCAUAUCUGUUUCUUAGCUGGAAUUAGGAAUUAUAUAUUUACCUAUAUCUCGGCUUGCCUAUAUGAUGCAAAAGCAUUUUGUUGGAAAUGUGUAAAUAUAGUGGUGGUCUACAGCUUGUUGCAGAAGCAACUUCAAAGGCAAAAGGUGGAGCAAAUUAUUGAUGAAGCAGUGGAAAUUGAAACUGAGUUUGUGUGUGAUGCCCUCCCAUGUGCAUUGAUUGGCAUGAACUCGACACUUAUGAGCCAGUAUAUAAAGUUUGUUGCUGACCGUCUUUUGGUAUAUCUGCAUUAGCGAUUUGCUUUAUUAUUAUAUUAUUUUAGUCAUUGAGAGAAGGAAAAAAAAAACGUUUAUUUCCUUUCCUUCCAUUUUCAGGUUGCUUUAGGUUAUCAGAGAAAGUACAAUGUGGAAAACCCCUUUGAUUGGAUGGAAUUUAUAUCUUUGCAGUGAGUAUUGUUGAUAACCUCCUUAAAGAUCUUCAUAUGGUUGAACAUUGAAAAGUUAUCUGAGUGUUCCAUCUCAACUUUGCCUCAGGCAAUACAGAUUUCUCACUUUCGACUAAUUAGUAUAUACUCCUAUUAGAUGCCCCUCUGAAGUUAAUCCCUUGAUAAAUUGUGAGUAACUUCUAUCAGCUAACAAUGUGUACAAAAAAUUGUGGUUCUUGGCACAAGCCUGAGUUAUUAGAAUGUUCAGUCAUAUUAAAUGUUAUGGUGACUUGUGAAUUAGGGGACAUUUUGAAAAUUGAAGCCAAGUUUUUCUCCACUUGUCAAAUUUGACUUUUGAGCCAAUGCAUUGUUGACAUGCUUGAAGCACUAUGACCUAUUAAGUAUUUAUGAUAAUUUUUUCGCUCAGUAUUCCAGUUUUCCUUGUUCUUAUUUUGUUUGUUUGACUGUGCAGAGGGAAAGCAAAUUUUUUUGAGAGAAGGGUAGGAGAUUAUCAGAAGGCAUCUGUUAUGUCGAGCCUUCAUCAUGGUGGAAAAAACUUUAAAAUGGAUGAAGACUUCUAGCCUGAUAUGAUGCAACUCCCUCCAGUAUCAAAGAUAUGCUUGAAGAAGGCAUCAAAAUUUUUCUAAUAUUCUUUAUGGUGACAUUUGUCUGUAGUCUACAACAUUUGCAAGCAAUCUCAAAGCAUCAAGGGUAAUUGUAUAUUUAUUCUGGGCCAGCUUUAAACUUUUCAUUAUGUACAAUCAUUGUGGCUACUGCUAUUUUAUCUGUUACUUGCAAUGGAGUUCAAUAUAAAGAAGGCAUUAUAUAUGAAUAUUAAAAUAUUUUAUGUCCUCAAGGUGGAAUGUCUUUGUCACCAUUUUGUUUAAAGCAUGCAUCCAAUCCUUGCCAUAACUUCAACUGUUAAUGCUUUAGAAAAGUAAUUUCUUAUGGAGCUCAGUAGGUUGGACACUGAAAAUUUUUGCUUAGAACUUGAUAUUUAGGUAUGAAAUGUGGAUCUGUCAUACUGCAAAUUUGUUUCCACAGCUAGAAAGAUGUUCCCUCGGGACCCCAUCAGGAGCUUCAUAAUCGAAGAUGCUUUGCUUAUCCGCCAUGACCAUCUUCAUUGCUUAUGGAAUUGAGUUGAGGCUGGUGGUAUGAUAAUGAUGAAACAAAUUAGUGCUCUCUUAUCAUAAGCAUUUAGUAUUGAGAAUCAUUAUUUUAUCAUAAUGACAUGUUUUGUCGUAUUCUAAGCUUGUGAUGGAUGAUAUUUCACUGAAUCAUCUACUCAUAUGCAUGGUCUGAGGAUCUUGGUCUUGUAUAUAAUAUGCUUUUAUGAGAUGUCAAUUUUUCCUCUUGAUCCAGAGUAUAUUUUUUAAUGGCAAUAUGACAAACAACAAGAAAAGAAUGUGAGCAUAAACAUCCCACGGUAGCAGACCAUGUCAAGCUAUUGCUGAGACCAACUUUCUUUUUUAUUUUUAUUUAUUUAUUUUUUAGCUUUAACAUUUCUUUUGAAUGUUGAACUUGGUACAUAAAAAGGUUGGAGACAAUGUGGGUGAUUG
rnacentral:misc_RNA from 1 species